GACUCGAUAGCUAAGUGGUUAUAGCAUGCGAUUGCAGUCAACGCACAAUGUAUCGCAGGGUCCCGUGUUCAAAUCACGGUCGGGUCU